AGUGAACGCUGGCGGUAGGCCUAACACAUGCAAGUCGAACGGCAGCACAGUAAGAGCUUGCUCUUACGGGUGGCGAGUGGCGGACGGGUGAGGAAUACAUCGGAAUCUACUUUUUCGUGGGGGAUAACGUAGGGAAACUUACGCUAAUACCGCAUACGGCCUACGGGUGAAAGCAGGGGAUCUUCGGACCUUGCGCGAUUGAAUGAGCCGAUGUCGGAUUAGCUAGUUGGCGGGGUAAAGGCCCACCAAGGCGACGAUCCGUAGCUGGUCUGAGAGGAUGAUCAGCCACACUGGAACUGAGACACGGUCCAGACUCCUACGGGAGGCAGCAGUGGGGAAUAUUGGACAAUGGGCGCAAGCCUAAUCCAGCCAUACCGCGUGGGUGAAGAAGGCCUUCGGGUUGUAAAGCCCUUUUGUUGGGAAAGAAAAGCAGCAGGUUAAUACCCCGCUGUUCUGACGGUACCCAAAGAAUAAGCACCGGCUAACUUCGUG
rnacentral:rRNA from 1 species